rnacentral:piRNA from 1 species
UGAUAACACUGCUGCUGAUAGAAUACC